UACUAUGCUUUUGAAAGUACGGAGCCCUCCAUACUUUCAGGUUAUUUUUGAUGUUGCGAAUUUUGAAUCGUCAAUCGGCUCCGUUAAACUUGAUCUAGAGUAUUUGAAGUACCUAGAAAAUAAAUUUUAUGAUUUUUCGAUAUCGUUUGCCUUGUGAUCGAAGGGGCUCAAAAUUAAUAAUUUUAAUGGUCGUAGUGAGCUGUUUGCAAGUUUAACAGUGUAGAAAUACCCAAAUCACGUAAAAUUUUGAUAGAAAAUUCUUUAUACUAUAUAAAACAAGAUCAAUAUCUUUGAUCUAAAAUUUUAAUGUCAUCACGUUUUGUAAGAUUUUUAUUUUCAGCCGUUGAUUUUGAGCCCCUUNAGAGAGAGAGAGAGAGAGAGAGAGAGAGAGAGAGAGUGAGUGAGAGAGAGUUGAGCUAGGAUACUUCUACAAGUACCAAAGAGGUGGUGCUUUUGAGUUUUAAGGCAUUGGAUGAAAAAAUAUAGGGUUGGGAUGAUGAUGGUAGAUGGUGGUAGGUGGAAUAGUGUUUGAUCCAAAGGCUAUUAAUAAUCAAGGAGUAGAUCAAAGGACUAAAAACUUAGAAGCACCAAAGAGGUGGUGCUUUUAAAAGAAUUCUAGCUCAAUUCUAUAUAUAUCACUACAACAAAAACAGUCUAUAGCGACACUUUUAAAUGUCGGUACAGGUUAAAAAAAAGUGCUGCUGGCUAAAUUACCGACACUUUUAAAAAGUGUUGCUAUAUGUGGGGUCGCUAGGUAUAUAGUGACAGCUAAAGAGUGUUGCUAUAACCUAAAAAGAGUGCUGCUAAUUUAUCAAUAUUUAUUUAAGUAUUUAGCAACCGCCGGAACUCUACCUCGUUCGCUACGGUGGCGGAGGAGGACGAGAGGAAGGGAUCUUCAUCUAGGAUUUCAGUCGAUUGAGUAAGGGAAGAAGGGGAAAUGGUAAUCGAUUUUUUUUUUCUUUUUCAUUUAUGUUUUUAAUCGGGCCGAAUGGGUUGCGUGGGGUGGGUUGAAUAAAGUAACCUUUUAUUUUUGAUUAGAUUAGACUUUAUAUUUAGGCAUUAGUAGAUUUUUUUAAAAGUUUUGGUAUAAAUGGGACACUCACACAAAAGUGUCCCAAACACGUGUCCCUAUAAUCUAAUUCUGUUGUAGUGUAUAUAUAUAUAUAUAUUAUAAUACAUAUCAUGCAUACUAACCUAACAUUAUCAUGUCAAUUA
rnacentral:lncRNA from 1 species